rnacentral:rRNA from 1 species
UAGGGAAUCUUCGGCAAUGGGGGGAACCCUGACCGAGCAACGCCGCGGGAGUGAAGAAGGGUUUCGGAUCGUAAAGCUCUGUUGUUAAGGAAGAACGAGUGUGAGAAUGGAAAGUUCAUGCUGUGACGGUACUUAACCAGAAAGGGACGGCUAACUACGUGCCAGCAGCCGCGGUAAUACGUAGGUCCAGAGCGUUGUCCGGAUUUAUUGGGCGUAAAGCGAGCGCAGGCGGUUAGAAAAGUCUGAAGUGAAAGGCAGUGGCUCAACCAUUGUAGGCUUUGGAAACUGUUUAACUUGAGUGCAGAAGGGGAGAGUGGAAUUCCAUGUGUAGCGGUGAAAUGCGUAGAUAUAUGGAGGAACACCGGUGGCGAAAGCGGCUCUCUGGUCUGUAACUGACGCUGAGGCUCGAAAGCGUGGGGAGCGAACAGG